GUGUGUAACUGAGAAUGAAACACGUUAGUAUUGGGAUGUCACACGCGUCUACCCUUCCUGCAGACAACGUUCACCACUUCAGAUGACAUUCUCCACCUAUAACUCUCGACUUCUCCGUCACCCGCACUCAGACCAUACUCCUUUAGUUCUCAGAAACCACAGAUUACACUCACUACUCUCAUCUACAUCCACCCAAAACUCAACCAGCUAUCUUACCCAACCUUGCCAAGAAUGGAGAAACCAACCAUGGCAACGGGUUAGAAGCCACUGAAGUCCCCAUCUUCUUCUGUUGCCGAGUGUAGAAGCUUGGGCUUUGGAAUUUAGACUGAGGUCAGUUCACUCCUAAGGUUUGGAAUUGGGGAAAAGUAGAAGUUUGGAGCUGGAGUUAAUCGAAAGUCUUUGUCAGCUGAAGGGUGGAAUUGUGCAGUACAUAAAUCGAAGAAGAAGGAUUUUGGGUGAAGGCUCUUUGACUGGGUAUUGAUCGAAUUGAGGUUGGAUGUUGGAGUAGUGAUAGACGGGGAGCUUGCUUCACAAAGGUGUUUCGGGCAGGAUUCCAGUGACCGAAGCUUAACCAACGACGGUGAUAGCUCGGAGAUUGUCUAAGCACGGAUUCCAGGAACUGAGCAGGAGCCAGCUGAGGACCAGGCUUAGACACUUGGGUGUUGGCAUCGUCAAGUUGUGAAUAGCUUCUUUUGGACUUGACUGUUGGUCUGGCAGGUGUUGAUUAGUCUCCCUUCUUUUGGAAUUGUGAAUGUGACUUUGUUUUGUUGUGGGAACCUUGUAAAUUUGUUAUUAUCCGCCUGCCUAUCUUUUGGUGUGUGUUACUUUGCGUGAACUUGAAACCCGAACCUUGGACUCGUGACAUUGUGGAAUGUAAAUAAAGUACUCUUUUGUUGUAAAA